AGAUUCCAGUGUCCGUUGCUGUGACGACGGGAGUCACCUGAUGCCUUGUUAGACAGUUGUAAGGUUCUAUUGCUGGCCCCAGUGGGGUCGUCAGUAAACUGGAGUGAUGUCCAAACAUCAUUACAUGCUGCUCCAAUAUUAAAGCAAAGGGAUUAGCAACUUAUUGCAAGCAACCUGGAUUUGUCAUUGUGCUGUCGUUAUCCAAUUUCCAACUGCUAAUGUGACUGUAGCCUGCAGGCAGAAGGACCUACAGCCAAACUUUAAAAAAUGGGGGAGAAAAGUUCCCUCCAUUCAUCCCAGUUUUUACCAUUAUUUAAUAGCUUCCAAUACCCAGUUAGAUCUGAAAUGUUUACCCUGUAGAAGAUGGAAUUAUUUCUAUUUGCAUGGAAAACUCAGAAAGCAAAGACAAUGAGCUCAUGAGCAACUUGAGUACAGAUAUCAGCCUUAUUCACCUUUGCAUAUGUCCUUCUGCUCCCAUAUACUCAACCAGUGCCCGAUAUACAAACCAAGAGAGAAGAAACAUCAACAUUUCCUGAGUAUGUACCAUGUUCCAGCUAUUCUGAAAGUCUUUCAACCAACAGUUCUUAUUUUAUUUAAUUAUCAUAGCAAACUGAGCGGUGUGUUUUUAUUGCUUCCAUUUUCCAAAUAAGAAAGUUGAACUUGUAGCUGUACUUGAAGGACUGUGAGAUAACAGAACUAAAUGUUAGAAGCAGCCUGGUUCCCUGAGUCACCACCAGGAGGGCAGCUACCAGGAGAGUCACCCAACCUUCUUCAGGCUGAGAUGUGAGUAAAACAAAGUUUUUCUAUUCUUAAACAACUGAGAUUUGGAGAUUAUUUGUUAAUUGGAGUA
rnacentral:lncRNA from 1 species